rnacentral:rRNA from 1 species
AGCAGCCGCGGUAAUUCCAGCUCCAAUAGCGUAUAUUAAAGUUGUUGCAGUUAAAAAGCUCGUAGUUGAAUUUCGGGGUUAGUAGGCUGGUCAUGCCACCGGUAUGUACUGGUCUUACUGAUUCCUCCUUCCUGAUGAACUGUAAUGCCAUUAAUUUGGUGUUGCAGGGAAUCUGGACUGUUACUUUGAAAAAAUUGAGUGUUUAAAGCAGGCUAACGCUUGAAUACAUUAGCAUGGAAUAAUGAAAUAGGACGUUCGAUCCUAUUUUGUUGGUUUCUAGGAUUGACGUAAUGAUUAAUAGGGAUAGUUGGGGGCAUUAGUAUUCAAUUGUCAGAGGUGAAAUUCUUGGAUUUAUUGAAGACUAACUACUGCGAAAGCAUUUGCCAAGGAUGUUUUCAUUAAUCAAGAACGAAAGUUAGGGAUCGAAGACGAU